CUGAAAUCGAUGCUGGUCCAGGUCGGUUUUCAGGGAGGGGGGAGGGGACUUGGCGGGGACCCUGGCUCCCGGCCGCAGCUGACCCCGGGGCUCCUCCCCUCCUUCCCGGUGAGGAAUCCUUUCCCUCGCUCUGCGUAGCCAGCUGCCACCUUCCCGGAGAAAGACCACACCUUUGCUUCUUCUCGCUUUGGGGGCGAGGUGAGCUUAGAAGCCAGGCACUGACCUGCCCACCAGGGCUUGGCCAGACCUCUAUACCCCAGAAUUGGUGAAAGGCGCUUCUUUCGCUUCUUUUCACCUGCUGAUAGCGUUUGUGACUAACUGGGACUCCAGUGGGAAGGAGAGGAGAACGGUGAGAGGGGAGCACUCCCGAUGAAAAGGGAGCACUUCAAGCGGUUCACCACCUGAGUGUCCCCAGAGUUGCCAGAGAAGACCCUUCUGAAAAAGCCACCUCUCCGUUCCGUGACAUCACCACCUCAACCCUUCCAACUUUAGCUUCAGAACAGGAAGAAGGCUCAAAAUAGAACUACCUUAGGAAUCCAGCGCCUUCACCAGAUCAACUUUGAAACCAGCUGCUGGGGGAACCAAGUGAACUUUGACCCUGAGCAAAUGGGAAGAGAAAGCUGUUGGAGCACUUAGGAAAUGUUUUUCUCCAGUUCUUCACUCCAUGGGGCACCCUUGCUGGACCUGGUGACUGACAGGCUGCCCUGGCUCAGUUAUCACAGUGCUGAUGCUGUCCAUUCUAAAGGUACAGUACUGUGAUAACUGAAGGAUGGCAGCCAUCUUGCCUUCCUCCCCAGAAGCCUCCUCACAGAAGAUGAAAGAGAAAUGGGAAGCAGCAACCCACCAGGAUGGGACCGGCCACUUCCCGGCACUCCUGUUUUGAACCUCAUCUAGGCUCCAAGUGGUAGCAGGAAAUAAAAGGGCGUUGUAGUUUGCCUGGUAUGUAAAUGCUGUGGUUCUGAGUAGAUGGAAGGUCUGUGGAGCCUUGGAGUCUUUGGGAGACUGGUGUUACCGAAGCCCUAAGGACGAAUCCGUAUAUCUGGAGUGGUAGUGAGAGAAAUGAGCCAUUUUGUAAAUGCAAGAAGGCAACUCGUUUAAAAGCUUCGCACUUAGCCCUGCACUGUUAGAUGUUCAACGUUAAGUAGGGAGAAGAUGAGUGUUCAGUGUCAGACAGUAUCGAUGUCACAGGAAAGAAUUACACCCGUGCUUAAGGAAUGGGUAGUGACAUGACUUUUCCAAAAAAUGCAUGUGGAACAUCACCUCCACAUGGAAACAGAUCGUUUUAUUCUAAGUAAAGGAGGACCACUCUACACGGCAGCACAGAUCAGCUUCACGGAUGUGAAGUUAGAGGUACCAGCCGGUAUCAUGAUUGCGUGAGAACCUAGACCUUAAUAAAAGCAUGUGAUUUCAGUCCUCAGCAUCUUCGAAAGUACCAUGGGUGGGGCUGUGAACAUGGCUCUGUCACGCGUGUGCAGAUGUGAGGACCUGAGUUUGGACCCCAGCACCCGUGUGAACAUCCAGGCAUGGUAACAGGCAUUUGUAAUCCCCAUUCUGGAGGGCAGAGACAGACAGGUCCCUGGGGCUUUGUGAAUCCCCACGCCAUAGUGAGACAUUUCAAAAAACAAGGUGGACAGCCUCUGGCCUCUCCGUGCACACACAGGGCCUGUGCAUCUAGACAUGCACAUACAUGUAGUAAGGAUAGUUGGAACAGAAUGGGGCUGUUAAAGGACCUGGGACCUGGCUGUCUUCCAGUCAGCCCUCUUGCUGAGGACACUAAAUACGACAAGACAGUAAGUACCACGGGUGGUGACAUUGUUGGGUCACAGUUCACCGGAGGGGCCCAGAUGAUCACAUGGAAUGUGUUUUUAGGCACCAAGCUUAAACAGGGUCCUGUUCCCUCUUCAUAGGCUAACAUGUCUGCCUGGGAACCUUCCUCCCUGUGCAUGGCUGAGCAGUGAGGGAGCUCAAGGAGUGACUUCCGUGGAAUCAGGCCCCAUUUGAACCUAGCUGCAACAAGGAUCCAGAUGGGCCAGGGAGGGCAAAACCCAUGUGACUUGUAGCAUAUGCUGGACCCUAUGAGUGGACAUUGUCACUAAGUGUUUGAGACCAUUUCUCUACCUGGACAGAAUGAGGAAAGCCGGACACUGGUCGCCAUCACUGUCUCUCGGCUGGCUUAGUUUCUUUCUUCUUUCCCUUCUCCAUCCAAAAAGAAGCCACGCCAGCAGUGACUUGGGUCACACCUGCUUGGCCAGAAACACACCGACCGUGUGUACAGCCCAGUGCUUCAAGUGACUUCACCCUCGCAGUUUCUCAUAAGCCAUGAGCUGGCUAGGCUGCUCUUGACCAGUGGCAGAAAGGGAGGGUCAGUCUUGCAGUUCCUUGGAUAGGAACUUUUGACAGAAACUCUGAAAAAAAAAAAAAAAAAAAAAAACGCGAGAAAGCUUUGGGAUUGGUGAGUAAUUUGAAACCCUCCUACAUCUCAGUGUUUUAGCAGGUGGAAAAAAAGCUUGAAGAAGGACUGCUUUUGUAAUCCUUGGCUUGCGUGUGGAUUUCGCCACCUUCCUGACCUUCCUGUUUUCACGCUUACUGGUUUUACAAAAAUUCAUCAGGUUUUUUACUUGCCCGAGAGCUUGACCCCAGAAGACGCGUUCAUGUGCAUGGGACAUUGCAGUUGUCCCUGUUCAUUUCACUCUUGCUGCAAUAAAAUGCCCCAGCAAGCAAAUGGUACAGAGAAAGGGGUUAUUUUAUUUUAUUAAAUACUUAUUUAUUUUUUGUGCUUUGUAUGUAUGUCUGUGUGAGGGUGCUAGAUUCUCUAGAACUGGAAUUAGCUAUAGGUUGCCAUGUGGGUGCAGGGAAUUGAAGCUGGGUUCCCUGGAAGAGCCACCUUCCCGCCCCCCCAGAAAGGGUUUAUUUUUAAAUCACAAUUCUAGAUUAUAGUCUCAUCAUAGCAGGGGAGCCAAGGCAUCAGGAGUUUGAAGCAUCUGGCCACAUUCUAAUCGUAGUCAGAAGGAGAGAGCAAUGAGUGUGUGAACUCUAGUGGUCUGUUUACUUUCUGUCUUGUUACACCAUCCAGGAUUCCCUGCCUAGGGAAUGGUACCAAGCAGAAUGGGGCUUUCUUCCACCUUAGUUAAUGUAAUCAAAGGAUUGCCCCAUCCUCAGGCAUGCCCAGAAGCUUCCUGCCCCCUUCCCUCCCAGGUGAUUCUAGGUUAUGUCAAGUUUACAGAACUGUAGCAACAACAUUUGCUGUAAUCUGGACAGGAGUCAGACUGAGUCAGGAGAACUGGGGCAGUGGCUCCAGAUGCUCACCCAGGCCUAGGGUCUUUGAAAACUGGGGUUUUCAAAAAGCUGGAUGUGGUACACACCUGUAAUCUCAGCUCUCAGGAGGUGAAGUGUGAGGAUUACCCCUGACUUCAAAGCCAGUUUGGUGUCUGUGAGCCUGGUCUAUAGAGUGGCAGACCAGGCUGGGUUACAUAGUAAGGUCCUAUCUCAACAACAAGAAGGAUAAAGACGUAAGAAGCUGGUGGGCAGCCCAUUACAUAGAUUUGGUUGAUGUGUUCAUUACAUAUCUCUGCAUGUCCAAAAGAAGUGAAAAGAAGGGCUGAGGAAGAUCCUCGCAUAUCCAUACGCAUUAACCUUAUUAGAAGUAAAAGAAGGGGGAAAGCCACCCAAGUGCCCAUGGAUGGAUGAAAGCUGCGUUAAGUAGAGUAAAAAUAUUAGGCAUUUAAAGAGAAGGGAAUUGGGACACACCAUCCACCAUGGGUUGACCUUGGUACUAUAUGCUAAGUGAAGGCAUAAAUAGGGUAUGACUAGAAAAGUUACUGUUACCAGAGUCUAGAACAAGGAGGAAGUGGGGAAUUUGUACUUAAACAUACAAAGUUUUAUUUGGGGAGGAUGAUGGUUGCCCAACACGAAUGUACUUAACGCCCACAAAAUUGCCUACCUAAAAAGCUAAGUUCUGUGUAUAUCAACAAUAAAACAUUUAAGGUGAUGAUGUUGUUGGAAGCCGGGCAAUAAGACUGGCAUGCUGCCUCAAUUUCCAUUGUAAAGAUCUCAAAGGUACCGUUCAAAGCAGUUAAAAUGUAAUUGCCAUAUCUUUUUGUGUUUAAAGUUCUCAAAUCUGUAGCCCCUUGGGUAUAUUUCCAGACAUAAGUUGGCUUUAAUUUAGUAAAAUAGAAAAACAAGAGCAUUAAAAACAGAACGAGAACGGCCCUAUUCUGCUGGCAAAAGUGAGCAGUGCUGGAUUUCAGGCAGUCUCCUUGGCUUGGGCUUCUUUGGUACAGUAGUAGUAAAGAUAAAAAUUGCAUCCAUCUCUUGGGCCUUCGAGAUGGUUCAGUGGGCAAAGGUCCUUAGCAAGUUGCAGUCAUUCCUCGGAACCCUUGUAAAGGUGGAAAGAAAGCCUGACUCCAUAGAGUUGUCCUCUGACCUUUACACGUUUGUCCCAGGUCUACAUCUACACUAAUAAAUAAUGGAAAAAUUAAAAUUACAUUUAUCUUCAAAGUAA